UCAAGAAAACUUAGAAGGGGAGGUUAUGAGCGGUUUUUUCUUUCCAUCGAUUUCUCCCCACGACGUCUCCCAAACCUCUUCUAUCACAACCAUUAUGUUCUUCUCUACUCUGGAUGUGUAAUGGAAACGGGCCUAGCAAUGGCCGGAGCCGGAGAAGAGAUUCUGUUGUACGUUAACAAGACUGGCGAGUACGAACGGUUUUACAAAACGGUGGAAGUCAUUUUCCUCUCCAAUGGCUAACCAGGUCGUUGCUUCCUCAUAUAUCCGAUCGAAGAAGAAAGAUGUCUCCAUCGAGUCUGGGAAAUUGUUCUUGGCUGGGACUACAUUUGUCUCCUCAAAAAAUCCUAUACGAAACAGAUCAACUUUACGUACAACUCAUGAAACUCAAGACAAAUUCGUUUCAAUGAUUUCUAAUCCCCGUCAGUAUACAUCACAGGAUAGAACUACAUAUCUGUUUCUUUGUUUCUCCAGCUUUACCAGGUAAUAUAUAUGUUUAUAUCAUGAUACUCAUGUAUCUUGAUUUAUUGUACAUGCAAGUAAAUGGACCAAUCACAAGAUUAUUAUUAGUUUUCUUUUCCUUUCCCGGUAUGGUGGUUGUUUCUCUACACAGGGUUGGCUUUGAGAGAGAAUAUUGUGAGAGUUAAUGGAAGGGACCUACGCCCAUGAAAAGGCAUAUAAUUGUUUCCAAAGUUGGCAAUCAUGCAAGGAAUUGCAAUGUUUUUACAAAACCAAUACCAACGCCAGAGGCUCGAUACCUGUAUAGUGCUGGGAAAGGUGUCUCUAGCUAUAUACACACUGACAUGAAUGGCUAGAUGAAUGAUUGUUGUGUGGGGAGAAACUGCUCGAGUGGAACGUCAAAUAUGUGAAGAUGAUCAAAUAUACCCUGAACAUGUUCCCAAGCUGAUAUAAUUCAUACGUCAGUUGAUUCAGGGACAUUUGCAAUACCACCUAGCACUGGGAGCCAUAGAAGUACAUCCAAACGAAAUAUGAUGGCGUUUAGGCAGUGUCUACUGAAUAGGAGAUAAAUUCUUAUAUAUCUACACAAGAGGUGAAUAUUGAUGAUGCCAAAAUUCCCACCACAACGGAUGUUGAACGCGUCGCGGAUGACUCUCAUGAGAGACUAAGGCCUAGGAGAAUCGAUCAAAGGGUGAUUGUGGUGAAAAGAUGGACCAGUUUUGUCACACCCCAACCGAUGGCGGAAUCAUCGGGGCGCGGCACUGAGCGAAACAGAUUGUUCAGAAGUUUCCACAACAACUAUCAUACAAUUCAGUUGUAUAACACGUCCCAUACCG